GGACCGUGUAUGGUGGGUAGUUUGACUGGGGCGGUCUCCUCCCAAAGAGUAACGGAGGAGCUCGAAGGUACGCUCAGCGCGGUCGGACAUCGCGCACUGUGUGCAAAGGCAUAAGCGUGCUUGACUGCAAGAUCGACGGAUCAAGCAGGUACGAAAGUAGGACUUAGUGAUCCGGUGGUUCUGUAUGGAAGGGCCAUCGCUCAACGGAUAAAAGGUACUCCGGGGAUAACAGGCUGAUACUGCCCAAGAGUCCAUAUCGACGG
rnacentral:rRNA from 1 species